rnacentral:pre_miRNA from 1 species
AAUGUACUCCCUCCGUCCGGAAAUACUUGUCAUCAAAAUGAAUAAAAGGGGAUGUAUCUAGAUGUAUUUUAGUUCUAGAUACAUCCUUUGUUGUCCAUUUUGAUGACAAGUAUUUUCGGACGGAGGGAGUAUUUC